rnacentral:rRNA from 1 species
AUUGAACGCUGGCGGCAGGCUAACACAUGCAAGUCGAGCGGCAGCGACUUAACUGAACUUCGGGGAACGUUAAGGGCGGCGAGCGGCGGACGGGUGAGUAAUGCCUGGGAAUAUGCCCUGAUGUGGGGGAUAACUAUUGGAAACGAUAGCUAAUACCGCAUAAUCUCUUCGGAGCAAAGAGGGGGACCUUCGGGCCUCUCGCGUCAGGAUUAGCCCAGGUGGGAUUAGCUUGUUGGUGAGGUAAUGGCUCACCAAGGCAACGAUCCCUAGCUGGUCUGAGAGGAUGAUCAGCCACACUGGAACUGAGACACGGUCCAGACUCCUACGGGAGGCAGCAGUGGGGAAUAUUGCACAAUGGGGGAAACCCUGAUGCAGCCAUGCCGCGUGUGUGAAGAAGGCCCUCGGGUUGUAAAGCACUUUCAGUAGGGAGGAAGGUAGUGUAGUUAACACCUGCACUAUUUGACGUUACCUACAGAAGAAGCACCGGCUAACUCCGUGCCAGCAGCCGCGGUAAUACGGAGGGUGCGAGCGUUAAUCGGAAUUACUGGGCGUAAAGCGCAUGCAGGCGGCCUGUUAAGUCAGAUGUGAAAGCCCGGGGCUUAACCUCGGAAUUGCAUUUGAAACUGGCAGGCUAGAGUCUUGUAGAGGGGGGUAGAAUUUCAGGUGUAGCGGUGAAAUGCGUAGAGAUCUGAAGGAAUACCAGUGGCGAAGGCGGCCCCCUGGACAAAGACUGACGCUCAGAUGCGAAAGCGUGGGGAGCAAACAGG